UGGGGUUACAGGUGUAGAACAGAAGCCUGA
rnacentral:piRNA from 1 species